rnacentral:lncRNA from 1 species
UGAGUCCAUGUAUCGUUUGAAAAAAUCCUAGCUGAUUUGGACUCUUAGUCCAUGUAUCUUUAGUUGGUUUAGUAGAUUGCGUCAGUUGAUUCGUCAGCUGAUUUUAUCAAUUGAUUUCGUCAGUUAAUUUCGUCAAAUGAUUGAUUUGACUUAAAAGAGUCCAUAUUUAGUUGGAGUCCGAAAAUUCUGGUUGUAAGAGUUUUUAUUUUUCCAAUCUCUUACUCUAUAUAAAUGGAAGGUUGAAGAAUAAAAUUCAGAAUUAAUUUUAGUUUUCAAUUACUCUUGAGAUUGAGAAGCGUGAGGCUUCUUCUUCCUCCUUUGGUAAGACUCCAAAGGUUCCUUUCUUCCUCAGUGAGACGCCGGAAAAUAAUUGGGUUUAGGAUAAAGGUGAGACUCUUUUAUUCAGCUCAUCAUUAUCAUGUUACUAUCAAAACUGCAGCACCUUUCUUUGUUUCUUCUUCCACCCCGCCAAUCUUCAUCAUA